AACAGACUUUGUGAGAAUAGCAACUAAAUUAAAAAAAUCGUUGUCUUUGAUCUUUGGUUGAGAUAAGACAGGAAGUAGUUUGUCUAACGCUUCCUUACGAUCCUUCCAUUUCGAAGAAGCCAUUAAAGUUUCCAGGUUAGGAUCCACAUUGGGUAAAACGUCCACUUCUUCUACCAAAUCAAAUUGAUCAUCUGACGGUUCUGGUUCACUUUCUUCAUUCUCGAGAGCAGGUUGCUCUUCUACCUGUGUUUCAACAUUCGGCUCUGAUGUAGGUUGCUGACUUUUCAAAAAACGAGUUUGUUUGGGAGGCUCUGUUGGUAGCUCAGCAAAAAGAGACUCAAGCUCUUUCGUCUGAACUGGUCUUAGAUCUUUAAAUAGUAAAUCUUUUAAAGGAUCCCCUGUCCACCGAUAAAUGUUUACAGUUAAACGAGAUGCUUCCUUACGAACAUUUUUAUCAGCAUGACCAAACAAGUUGGAGAUAUGUGGAAUAAUCAUUUUUGAAGGAAUAACUUUAGCACCAAACUGCUCAACUAGACUAGCAAUGGCAGCGACAUUAGAAGCUAUUACCUUCGGGGAUCGAGCCGAUAAAGAAGGAAUGAUUGAUUCUAUAACUGGCGCAGCUGAAUCUGCUUCAACUAAUAGCAUAAGAGCUUCUAGUGCAUUUUCCCUUGUACCUGCGCGAGGUGAUGUUAAGCAUUUCUCUGAAAUUGAAAGGACUGAUAUUUCACGAGCUUUAAGUAAAUGAGAAGGAUCGGAAAACCUGCAAUAAGCUACAAACGCUGCGGUACCAGCUUCUUGAGCUGCUACGUUGCUAUCAGUCAGCACUGAUUUCCACAAUUCACUCUGAUUAUUCCAAAGCUCAAAGCAAUUAUCCGAACCAUCUGCUGAAAGUGAAAACGAUUUGCUGCACUCUUCAUAAGCAGAUAGACGCACUUUCCAUACUUUAUGUACUAUUCUUGAUUCUAGAGGAAGUUUGGAGUAGUCUUCUUCUUGAUCUUGGCUCAUGUUCCUCCGGGGUGCCAAAAAUUAAAGGAGCGUAUAAGAUAAAUAAACAGCAAAUGCUCUCCCAAAACUCCAAUUCUAAAACUCAAAAGUUGUACUUAGUACCUUUUCUCCCUUUUUUGAAUAAAUAAUAAGUAAUUACUCGUUAAGCCUGUAGGCAAAUACAACACUGUCAAACUUUACAGAAUAUCGAUUUAGCAAGGCCGGAGUAUAUAAGUAUUAACUCGUUGAGUCAACAAAUUCAAACC